rnacentral:lncRNA from 1 species
CCCAGGAAAGGCCUGGCAUCCGCAGUGUCCCUCCAGCAGCUGGACCUGCCCACCCAGCAGACAGAGUCUAUCCUCCAGUGCCCCGUGGUGCUGACUCAGGGCCCCAGGACCAAGGAGAGGCACCUCUUCCUCUUCAGGGACUGGCUGGUCGUCGCCAAGCAGAGGUCUUCCACGAGCUACAGAUUCGAACAGAAGCUGCCGCUCUCCGAGUUGGGGGUGGUCUCCUGUGACAGUGAGGAAGAGGUGGACAAAGAUGAGGCUGGCCACCUCACCCCCAGGGGAGGAAACACCAUCUUCUUUACGAUGGCCUCGAAGCCUUGUGUCACCGAGUUUCCGUAAGUGCCACCAAGUUCAGCAACAGGUUUUCAACCCUAAGAUCCACAGGAAGGCCCUGGUCCUUUAAUAAACUCACAGCUGUUACAGCA